UUCAAAUAAAAUAAAUAAAACAAAACAGCCACACCGGCCAGUUUUGUCUGUACUGAAGUUUUCCCUUUAAGUGCGUGUUAAGUGUGUGUAUGU